GUGCCAGCCGCCGCGGUAAUACGGAGGGUGCAAGCGUUGUCCGGAUUUAUUGGGUUUAAAGGGUGCGUAGGCGGCCCUGUAAGUCAGUGGUGAAAUACUGCAGCUUAACUGUAGCAUUGCCAUUGAUACUGUAGGGCUUGAGUACAGAUGAGGUAGGCGGAAUUGAUGGUGUAGCGGUGAAAUGCAUAGAUACCAUCAAGAACACCGAUUGCGAAGGCAGCUUACUAAGCUGUAACUGACGCUGAGGCACGAAAGCGUGGGGAUCGAACAGGAUUAGAUACCCGCGUAGUCC
rnacentral:rRNA from 1 species